rnacentral:rRNA from 1 species
CAGACUAGAGUGCAGUAGGGGAGACUGGAAUUCCUGGUGUAGCGGUGAAAUGCGCAGAUAUCAGGAGGAACACCGAUGGCGAAGGCAGGUCUCUGGGCUGUAACUGACGCUGAGGAGCGAAAGCAUGGGGAGCGAACAGGAUUAGAUACCCUGGUAGUCCAUGCCGUAAACGUUGGGCACUAGGUGUGGGGGACAUUCCACGUUUUCCGCGCCGUAGCUAACGCAUUAAGUGCCCCGCCUGGGGAGUACGGCCGCAAGGCUAAAACUCAAAGGAAUUGACGGGGGCCCGCACAAGCGGCGGAGCAUGCGGAUUAAUUCGAUGCAACGCGAAGAACCUUACCAAGGCUUGACAUGAACCGGUAAGACCUGGAAACAGGUCCCCCACUUGUGGCCGGUUUACAGGUGGUGCAUGGUUGUCGUCAGCUCGUGUCGUGAGAUGUUGGGUUAAGUCCCGCAACGAGCGCAACCCUCGUUCUAUGUUGCCAGCGGGUUAUGCCGGGGACUCAUAGGAGACUGCCGGGGUCAACUCGGAGGAAGGUGGGGACGACGUCAAAUCAUCAUGCCCCUUAUGUCUUGGGCUUCACGCAUGCUACAAUGGCCGGUACAAAGGGUUGCGAUACUGUGAGGUGGAGCUAAUCCCAAAAAGCCGGUCUCAGUUCGGAUUGAGGUCUGCAACUCGACCCCAUGAAGUUGGAGUCGCUAGUAAUCGCAGAUCAGCAACGCUGCGGUGAAUACGUUCCCGGGCCUUGUACACACCGCCCGUCAAGUCACGAAAGUUGGUAACACCCGAAGCCGGUGGCCUAACCC